rnacentral:rRNA from 1 species
AUUGAACGCUGGCGGCAUGCUUUACACAUGCAAGUCGAGCGGCAGCGCGAGGGCAACCUUGGCGGCGAGCGGCGAACGGGUGAGUAACACAUCGGAACGUACCCAGGAGUGGGGGAGUAGCCCGGCGAAAGCCGGAUUAAUACCGCAUACGAUCUGUGGAUGAAAGCGGGGGACCGUGGCAACAGGCCUUGCGCUCAUGGAGCGGCCGAUGUCCGAUUAGCAGUUGGUGGGGUAAAGGGCCUACCAAGGCGACGAUCGGUAGCUGGUCUGAGAGGAUGAUCAGCCACACUGGGACUGAGACACGGCCCAGACUCCUACGGGAGGCAGCAGUGGGGAAUUUGGACAAUGGGGGCAACCCUGAUCCAGCCAU